UGGGGAAUAUUGCACAAUGGAGGGAACUCUGAUGCAGCGACGCCGCGUGAACGAAGAAGGCUUUCGAGUCGUAAAGUUCUUUUAUAUGGGAAGAUAAUGACGGUACCAUAAGAAAAAGCCCCGGCUAACUACGUGCCAGCAGCCGCGGUAAUACGUAGGGGGCUAGCGUUGUCCGGAAUCACUGGGCGUAAAGGGUUCGCAGGCGGAAAUGCAAGUCAGGUGUAAAAGGCAGUAGCUUAACUACUGUAAGCAUUUGAAACUGCAUAUCUUGAGAAGAGUAGAGGUAAGUGGAAUUUUUAGUGUAGCGGUGAAAUGCGUAGAUAUUAAAAAGAAUACCGGUGGCGAAGGCGACUUACUGGCCAUAUACUGACGCUGAGGUACGAAAGCGUGGGUAGCAAACAGG
rnacentral:rRNA from 1 species